rnacentral:rRNA from 1 species
ACGAACGCUGGCGGCGUGCUUAACACAUGCAAGUCGAACGGAAAGGCCCUGCUUUUGUGGGGUGCUCGAGUGGCGAACGGGUGAGUAACACGUGAGUAACCUGCCCUUGACUUUGGGAUAACUUCAGGAAACUGGGGCUAAUACCGGAUAGGAGCUCCUGCUGCAUGGUGGGGGUUGGAAAGUUUCGGCGGUUGGGGAUGGACUCGCGGCUUAUCAGCUUGUUGGUGGGGUAGUGGCUUACCAAGGCUUUGACGGGUAGCCGGCCUGAGAGGGUGACCGGCCACAUUGGGACUGAGAUACGGCCCAGACUCCUACGGGAGGCAGCAGUGGGGAAUAUUGCACAAUGGGCGGAAGCCUGAUGCAGCAACGCCGCGUGCGGGAAGACGGCCUUCGGGUUGUAAACCGCUUUCGCCUGUGACGAAGCGUGAGUGACGGUAAUGGGUAAAGAAGCACCGGCUAACUACGUG